rnacentral:rRNA from 1 species
UACAUAGGGUGCAAGCGUUGUCCGGAAUUAUUGGGCGUAAAGAGCUCGUAGGUGGUUCGUUACGUCGGAUGUGAAAAUCUGGGGCUCAACCCCAGACCUGCAUUCGAUACGGGCGAACUAGAGUGUGGUAGGGGAGACUGGAAUUCCUGGUGUAGCGGUGGAAUGCGCAGAUAUCAGGAGGAAUACCAGUGGCGAAGGCGACCCCCUGGGCCAAUACUGACGCUGAGGUACGAAAGCGUGGGUAGCGAACAGG